GCCGGAGAAACAAGCGAUGGUCCAGUAUCUGCCCCAGUAAGCAUCGGCUAAGACAGCACCAAUGAGCGGGGUGAGAUAACAAGUCCCCUGCCAUGUGGUGACGUUUCUAGCAGCGGAAACGUUUCCUUGGUGGAGUUUAGUGGUGAGGUAAGUGAUAAGAUUCCCAGCAAUACCAUAGUAAGCUAGCCUCUCGCAGCAUUCAUUACCUACACAUUAAAAACAUCAUCCUCAUAAGGUUAAGAUACAUAAGGAAUAGGAUUGAAAUGAAACGAAAUGUACCUAAAAUGAAAGGACAAGCUUUCCAGUUGCCUGUCUUCUCCUUGAGUGGUGGGUUUCCAUGAAGGUCCACUGAACCAUCUUGAGCAUACAGUUUUGGUUCCUGGUCAAACAAAAGUCAAGAUUACAUCUUUUAGCCAAAGACCAUUGCCAGUGAACAAUAAUAGCAUCAAAAUAGUUUUAACUACAACAUAAUCUGAUCUGCACUGGCAAAGUUUAUACAUUUGGAAUCAUAAUCACCCUCAAGGGUUAUAAAUAAAUACAUGGAAGGGAAUCAACAGCAAUUACCCAGAAAAAUCUCUCAACAAACAAACAUGCAUAAGAUCAUCAAACUCAAGCUCAAGUCAAGAUUUUUGGAGAAAUGAAAACCCUAAGAGAGAGAGAAAAAUCAAAAUCCAGAUUAACCUAAAUUCAAGCGAUUAGAAACAACAUCUAAGAGCGAAAUUGAUGAUCAAACCUGCGAGAUUAAACCUUCUUCGAUGAGAGGUGAUUCUUCUUCAAUGGAGCCCAUCCUUCUCGCUUCGAUUUAAGAUUCCAUCUUUACUCUUUAUUUAUUUGGAAGACGUGACGUGACGUGAUUGUUUUCUAUUUUAAUUUUCCCCGCGACUUUUUUUAAUUAGUUGUGAAAAUAUUAAAUAAAACGGAUAAUAUAAGAAACAAUUAGAAGCGAACUAAUAUAAUAAGCAAAGUACAACGACAAUCUGAUCUUUUGCGAUAACGAUUUCUCUGCUUCUUGACGACGUAAAGAUAAGACUUGUGGGUCGACUUGUCCAUUUUUUUCAACUUGUAUUACUCUAACCAAGAAACGAUAUAUGUUUAUUUGUUGCUCUGUUUUCAAGUUUUUUUUUAUUUUUUCCAACUUGUAUUUACCCUAACCAAGAAACGAUAUAUGUAUGUAUUUUAUUUGUUUCUCUGUUUUCAAGUUUUUUUUCGUUGCUAUGUCUCUCUCUCAGUCUCUCUUGAAUUAGGACCUGACUGGUUCAAACGCAGCGGUUGCGGUUGCGGUUGCGGGAGUUUGUGGAUGCGGACGGUUACGGUUUUUAGCGAUUUUAAGAGAUUUGUACGACUGGUACUGCGGUUAAAAAUUGGUGCGUUUGCGGGUGACUUAUGACUGGUUAACUACCAAAUGCGGUAACAAUCAAAUAAUAAAUUAACAAUAUUUACAUUUAAUAUAAUUAUAAAAAUAUCAAAAAUCAUAAAAUUAUAAUAAAUAUAAAAUUUAUAUUUAGAAAGUAAAGAAGACUCUUUCCUCAAAACUGAAUCCAAUAUUAGUCAAAUGUUCAAAUCUAAACACCAACCAAUCUCAUUCAAUUCGGAACCAAACCUAAACCGAAAAAUGGAACCACGAAUAUCUAAUUCAAUCAAAUCACCAAGAAGACCCGAUGAACCGGAGACUAAGACACACAUUAGUGCGUUCUGUGAUUCUUCAUAAGGAUUUAGCAAGUAACACGAAGUGACUGUAGCCUAUCUGUGACACAAUUUACAAGCUCACACAAUAACCAAGCUUAAGGCUUUCAAAGCCUACAAGUAAGAGAACAUAAAUCAAACAUAAUAUAUAUAGUCUAGCAAAUUUGAGCUGCGUCCUGUUAAUCAGCGAAUCUCUUCUUCCGGCUUAGUAAAAAAGCAGAAGAACAGAGCUAAGUGUUCAUUGCCUGCUGUAAUCACAAAGAUUCCUAAGGAUUUAUAACUAACAACCCCAAAGUAACUGUAGCCAUAAUAUCUAAGACACAAUUUACAAGCUCACACACUGAUAGUGUUAAUUACUUCCUACUUAAAGACUAAUGUAUUAAGCUUUUGAGUGUAACAGGAAACAAGACUAACACAACCUGCAGAGAGUCGAGUUAACGAUGGAACUAGGCUUAUCCAAACUUGAGAUAGCUUACAAGAACAAUCAAAUGCAAAGACGAACACAUUUCUCAAGCAUGAUUGAUCCAAAAAAGGCUUAUGCUUGUGGUGUAAAAGAAGACUCUUUCCUCAAAACUGAAUCCAAUAUUAGUCAAAUGUUCAAAUCUAAACACCAAACAAUCUCAUUCAAUUCGCAACCAAACCUAAACCGAAAAAUAGAACCGCGAAUAUCUAAUUCAAUCAAAUGGAACCGGAGACUAACCGGGAAGCUGGAAGAUCGAACCGAGGAGGGGCUACGCAUUAGCGGUCUUAGGGAUAAGAGGAACACCGUUCCCUUGUAGCUUACUCUGUUUAGCCUUGGCUUCUUCCUCGCGGAUCUUCUGCAUCGCGAGCAUCCUCUCCAUCACGAGCUCGUACUCGCACUUCUCGUACACGUGGCGCUCGUCCUCGCACUUCCACGGGAGGAAGAACUCAGCCUGGCGACAUUUGUUGAGCGGCAUCAGGAGAUGAGCGCACUGAUCUCUGUAUCCGAGCGGUACUUUGGCUGCCACCAUCUCUUCCUGCGUUGCGAUCAUCUUCUUCGAUGAACCUGGAACCUCCAUUUUCCUCUCGCGAUCCCUAACCUCUCUCCUUCUUUCUCUUUGGCGACUCCGAUUUGCUUGACCCGGACAUACUCAGGUUUUUUUUGUUCCGGGUCAUAGUUUAAAUGGGCUCAAUUGGUAUACUAAGCCCAAGUUUUAUUCAAUGGUCUUUUACAUUUUUUCGACAACAUUUUAAGUUAUAUACAAAAGAUGAACGAACCACUGAUGGUGGAUUCUGAGAACUGGUCUUUACUUAGCCAAAAAAAAAAAUCAUAAACUUUUAGUUUGAUUUAUUUUAGCAUUCAAUUGUUAAUUUUUUUUUAUUUUGAUCUUGUUUUUACUAAAUUGUUUUAGAUAUACAAAAAUCAACUGUUAAAUCGAUUUUAGCAGUUAAUUUUUCACUUAUCUAAAACGAUUUAGUUUUAAAAAAAAGAUUAAAUAAACGAUUUAAAAGGUUAAAAGUGACAAUGUCUCAAGUGAAAACUUCGCAUUUUUUCUUUUUUAAAUUUCAGUAUCUGGUGGUUUUCUCAAACAACAUACUUUUCGUUUUUUUUUCUUAAUAUAUAUUUCAUAUAACAUGCAUAACUUGUAAUCUUGUGUACAUAUACUAAUUUAACACUACAAAAUUUAGAGAGUUAUCGACUUGUUGGUUAAAAGAUUGUAAUUGAUUUAACACUGCAAAAGCAAAUGUGAGAAGACUGUUUGGAACUGAAAGAAACGAGUACACAAACAGUUGUUCUUUUAAACAAACACAAUUUACACAAGAAAAGAAACAAACUUUGUAUGUAAUGGAAGGAGAGAGAGAGAAAGAGAACAACCACAUUAUAACUUGGACGCCUUCUUCUGCUUAUACCUAGCGGCAGAGAAGAAGUAAACCGCCAUGUUCACAAGGCUAAGCCCAGCCAAAAGCCAGAAGUAGUAAUCAAGAUGACCCGAGUUCAGAUUAUCCGAUAUCCAACCUUGUUCACCGUUCCUCGUCGUGAAAUAAGUCACCAGCGUGAGGAUCAACGAACUCAAGUAGUUCCCAAGAGCAUUAGUCAAAAGAGCCAAAGCACUGCACAAGCUCCUCAUUGCAUCUGGAGACUGAUCAUAGAAAAACUCAAGCUGUCCUAUGAAGUAGAACACUUCCGCCGCACCGAGGAUGAAGUACUGUGGGAUCUGCCAUAACACCGAUAUGGGGACAGGAGCUCCAGACUCAACCAACCCGAGCUCGUUGGCUAAAUGGAGCCUGAUGAUCUCGACAAUCGCUGCAGCUGCCAUACAGAGAACAGAGACGAACAGACCAACCCCCAUUCUCUGUAUCUCAGUGAAUCCUUUGUCUACUCCAGUGAACCGUCUAGCUAAAGGGACGAUGAACCUGUCGUAGAGAGGAACCCAGAUGAUGACGCUAGCUGUGUCAAACGUCCCGAGCGCUGCAGGAGGAAGCUGGAAAGAUCCUAUUUUGCAGUCCAUGGCUCGGCCUUGUUGAACAAACAUUGUUGACAUUUGUGCGUAUACAGCUGAGAAAAUGAUACCUGAAGCCCAUAUUGGGAACAUUCGUAUCAGAAUCUUGAGUUCUUCGACUUGAGUAACUGUGCAUAGUCUCCACGAGUUGGAGAAGUCUCCGGUUUUGGAUUCUUCUUCUGAGAUAACAGCAGCUUUGUCAAGAUACCUGCAUCAAUAGAGACCCCAUGUUAAACAAAGCAAAGCUAUAUAUAUACUCGUUAGGAUAAUAGAUGUUUUAGAAAAAAAUUUGAUUCACAAAAAUAGAUUUUUUGUGUUUUCUAUGAAAAUGUUGUAAAUUUUUUAAAAAAUUAAUUAAUUUAUUGGUUAAAACUUAUUGAAAAUUGAUAAUAACAAAAAAAAAAUUAUAUAUUUAUUAUAGUGAUUUAAUGUGUUUUCUUAGUAACCCCAAGACCCUUGUCUUAGCUAUCCCUGGAACAAGGGACCUCUAACACAAUGGCAUGGCUCCUUUCAGUUGAGCUAGUAAAGCAAAGCUAUUCAUUCCCAGGAAGAAGAUGAAACUUACUGGCAAUCAUCGGUAUGUUCGAUUUUUCGACUUCCAGCAAUAGCAGAGUUCUUGUCCUGCGUUUCAUACAGAAGCAUUGCGUCUUCAGGGACUGUGAGAGUCGAUUUACGGAACGAGGCCACCACCACUUGGGAGAUCCGAGUGAUAGGGCUGCCUCCAGGCUUCUGAAACCUGUAAAGAGGCGUGCCAAAGAAGAAACUUGCAAUGGCGAGUCCCAUGAAGACGGUUGGUAUACCAAAACCUAAACCCCAGCCGCGGUUCUCUUGGAUCCAGACAAGAAGACUAGAAGAGACUAGCGCUCCAAUGUUGAUGGAGAAGUAGAACCAGUUGAAGAAGGAAGCUUUCUUAACUCGUUCGCGAGAGUCCGUGUCAUCGAACUGGUCUGCACCGAAGGAUGAGACGCAUGGUUUGAUGCCUCCAGUGCCGAGGGCGAUCAGGUAAAGCCCACCAAAGAACAUUGCGUACUGUGCUGGUGUUGCUGAUGGACAGAAAGUGCCAAUGCAUUCCGCUGGCUUUAGUGCCGGAACUGACGCUGAGAGAGUUAGCGCAGACAUGCCCUAAACAAAAAACAGAGCAAAGAAAACCAAAACUCAAACUUCAAAUCAAUUGUGUGAUAAGACACAACCAUUGAAAAGGUGCUUACGAUGAAGUAAAUGCCGGAGAAACAAGCGAUGGUCCAGUAUCUGCCCCAGUAAGCAUCGGCUAAGACAGCACCAAUGAGCGGGGUGAGAUAACAAGUCCCCUGCCAUGUGGUGACGUUUCUAGCAGCGGAAACGUUUCCUUGGUGGAGUUUAGUGGUGAGGUAAGUGAUAAGAUUCCCAGCAAUACCAUAGUAAGCUAGCCUCUCGCAGCAUUCAUUACCUACACAUUAAAAAC
rnacentral:lncRNA from 1 species